GGUGCUUUGGCGGAGUGGUUAACGCGAUGCCCUGCUAUUAGCGAAGAUCUGAAUCUACUCAGAUUAGCUAAAGCCAGGCAUUUCCUUCGGGAGCGCAGGUUCGAAUCCUGCAGGCAUCG